rnacentral:rRNA from 1 species
CCGAAAGGUAGGAGUGCCCGCAAGGGAGCGCGGAGACAGGUGGUGCAUGGCUGUCGUCAGCUCGUGUCGUGAGAUGUUGGGUUAAGUCCCGCAACGAGCGCAACCCUCACCCCUUGUUGCUACCAGGUAAAGCUGGGCACUCUAGGGGAACUGCCCCGGUCAACGGGGAGGAAGGCGGGGAUGACGUCAAGUCAUCAUGCCCCUUACGUCCUGGGCUACACACGUGCUACAAUGGCCGGUACAAAGGGAUGCCACACCGUGAGGUAGAGCUAAACCCAAAAAGCCGGUCUAAGUUCAGAUUGGAGUCUGCAACUCGACUCCGUGAAGGAGGAAUCGCUAGUAAUCGCGCAUCAGCACGGCGCGGUGAAUACGUUCCCGGGCCUUGUACACACCGCCCGUCACACCACGAAAGCUGG